AAAAAUUUAGUUAAAAUAUAUAACGUUAGCUUGUCAAGCUAAAAUUAUUAAAUAAAUAAUUUUUG
rnacentral:tRNA from 1 species